GCAGAUACAGAAAUACGAUGAUUUAAAAUCGAAGCCAGUAUUUAUUUACAGUUCACAGAUUACAGUCUAGUUUCCAGCUUGGGAAAAUCGUCUAGUAUAUUACAAAAGCAAAAGCUCUUCAAUCAAUUAAAGUUUAGAUAAAAUUUUUAUUUCAUCUUUUGCUAUUUACUCCACCAACACCACUCCAACCUUUUGCUUUCCUCCCUCAGCCAACCACCACCACUAUCUCCAAUAUCUCCAAUGAUUUAACUAUCAACUCCACCACCACUUGCUCCCCACCCAACAAAUGCAAUAUUCACUCUCAUUUCAAUUUCAUCCAAAAGUUCAGAGGAUCAAUUCCAGUUCAGCCGAAGCUCUCAAGGUAAUGCUUGGUUUCAAUGCUUUCUUCUCCUUUGAUUAAGUUCAUCCUGCAAUUGUUAAGCAAAUAAGCAAUUUAUUUCAGUUUCUAUCCACUGAUUCAAACACCACAGCAGCCAACAUCAAUUACAAGCCUAAAUUUCUCAUUGAAUUCAAUAGCAACAAACAGCCACCAACACCAAGCAUAGCAGGUAUAUACUUAGCUCAGCUCCAGUUCAUACAUCAUAUCAUCAAGCAUAUGUUUAAAAAGGAAAUACAUAGUAUACAGGUGUGUAUAUAUAUGCACACAGGGACUUAGCAAUCGAAAUCAGUUUAUGCUAUAUUUUCUUAUCACACGAGGCAAGCAAGGAAAAUUCUUGAUACAUUAGUAAACCACGAACUUAGUUUUAUCUCUUGCAUAAUACAGAAAUCAGUAUAUAUUUUCUUCACUUAAGAUAAAGGCAAUGAGAAAACUCUCAUAAAUCAGUAGCAAAAACCAAGACUCCACAUAGACUUAAGUAUUGAACUUAGCUGUAGAAGGGCUGACUGCCCGACGGGGACGGGGACGACGACGACGGUCGGGACAGGGCGAACUCGUCCAACCUCAUCAGAGCCCCGAACAGCAGCUGCCCGGCGACGAGCUGAGACUCGUGCGCAGCAGCAGCGGUCGCUCGACAGUUGCGUUUUUCCCUUUUUCUGAGAACUAGGGCCCAACGACGGAAGGAGGUGUGGAUAUAAGAAAUGGAUGGCGCCAUUCCCAGGCAGCGGUUGCUCUCCGGCCUUCACAAGGCGGCGGCGGAACUUCAGCGUGAGGGAGAGAGACUGGAACCGACGGCCGCUGAACAGCCGAGAAAGAGGACCGAUCAGAUCUUGGCCGAGAAAGAGAUAGAGCAGCCGGUACCGCCCGAUUCCAUGUUUGAGACAGCUCCAAGCAGCGCCGCUCCCAGACGACAGCAGCUCGCCGGAUUCCAGACGGAGGUGCGACAGCGGCGAUGAUUUCCAGAGUUAGGGCUCGAUUGGAUUCUGCGUGAGGAAGGAAGGAGGAGGAGGGAGCGCCGGUGUCGAAAACGUUGGAAGCUGACGCCGGUGGUAGCAGACGACGGCUGGAUGGCCGGAGAAGAAGACGUCGAGCGAGCUGGGAAGGGCCGAUCGACUGGUUUUUGAAUCGAGAAGAAGAGCAGAGCGUGUUCUGCUUUGAGUUUGAGAGAGAGAGUGUCGGUUGUGAGAUUUGAGAAAGAGGGACCGAUAGUUUGAGGGAGAGAGAGUUGGGCUUGAUGCUAUUUUAAUUAAGUUUGGGCUUUUCUUAUUUGGGCCUCACCUUUUAAUUGUUGUGGGCCGAAUUUUGGCUUGUUUUUUUUAAUUGGGCUUCAAAAUUUAAUUAUUUUGGGCCUCACAAUUUUAAGUAUUUCAAGUCAAGAUUUGGGCUUCCCUAUGUUAAAUUCGAACUGGGCCAGUCUUUUUAUUUAUUGUGGGCCGAAUUAUUUUAAGUUGGGCUCGAUUAAUUUAAGGAAUUGGGCUGAUGCAUAUUUUAUUAUGGGCUAUUAUUCUAAUCCCAUUAUUAUUUCGUUGGGCCAGUUUAAUUCAUUUUGGGCCUCUUCAUUUAAUUAUUUGGGCCUCUACAUCUUAUUUAAUUUAGCCCAGAUAAAUUUUCAUUUUAUAUCUUGGGCUUUAGUUUAAUUCUAUGGGAUGUUGUUUUAUUGGGCCACUUUUAUUGAUCUAAGCCCAGAGUAUCUUUUAUUUAGUUGGGCCGAGUUCAUUUCAGAAAUUGGGCUUUGUCUUUUAAUUCUUUGGGCUGCUGUACCAUAUCAGUUGGGCCGAACUCAUUUAAUUGUUUGGGCUCGAAUUGUUUUAAUUGUUUUGGGCCAAAGGCUUUUAAGUUCGGGCUUGAUUUUAAUUGCUUGGGCUUUCACAGUUAAAUACGAAUUGGGCCAGUCUUUUAUUUAAUUGGCCAUUCUCAUUAAUUCUAUUGGGCUUGAUUUAUUUAAGGAGUUGGGCUGAUGCAUAUUUUAUGAUGGGCUAUUAUUCUAAUCCCAUUAUUAUUUCGUUGGGCCUCGUUUGAUUUAUUUAAUUGAGCCCAACUAAUCAAAUUAUUUAUUCAUUGGACUAAGAUUUAUUCUUUUCAGCCCACAUUAAUUACUAUUAUCACUUGGGCUGAAGUUACUCCUUUGAGUUAAGCCUAGCAGUAUCUAUUAUGAUGGAGCCCAAUUAUUUAUCAGUGGGUGAGCCGAUUCUUAUUCAGUAAAUGAUCUGCCCAGUUUAUUAAUUAAUGUUUUUGGACUUCCGACUUUAAAGCAAGCCAUUAUUGUUUAUUUCAUUUAAGCCACUGGUUUAUUUAAUUAAUUGGCUACUCUCUUUUGAGCCUAUUAAUUAUUUGAGGUUACGCUAGUAAUGAUGCUUCUAUCGAAAAGCCCGAUAAUUUCUACAAGGUCACACCUCGUUUAAAGCCGAGUUAGUCCUUUUUCAAUCAAGUACAAAUGCGAGGUUUAUUUCACGACUAGAAUAUUCCGAUGAGGAAGGAAGAAUCACAGUUUUAUUCGACCGCGCUAGACGAGAAUUAGCUAAAUCUAUUAACGAGGAUUAAUAGUAGAAUUCCCGAUUAUCGCUCAGAGUAUUAGUUCAUGCAUACCAGAUUCAUGCAUAGUUAAAUUACGCUUUCUCAUUAAUUAAGAAUUUUCCUCGAGACAAUGUCUUAUUUUAUAUUCUCGUGAUUAAGGUCAAGCGCGAGAGUAAGAACUACACAAGGAGUUAGAGUACCUUAGCAAAACUUUGCUAUCAGGUGGGCAAUUUCUUACGCGUAAAUAAAAUGCUAUGCAAAUGUUAUGCUUUAAAAUGCAAAUUGGAUCUUCAAGUAUGGUAUGCUUUAUUACGCUUAAAUGAGUUAAGCUUUAUUAUGCUGCACGUUAAAUGAUUUACGCUAUGCUGUUUAUACUAUUACGCCUAUGUAAUUUACGCUUGAUUACACUUAUUUACGCUUGAAUGCUUUACGCUGAUAAGUUUAUGCUUAUGUUUGAUGCUUGCGUCUGUUGGGGGAGGCCUCCCUCAACAGUACGAUGCCGUGUCCGUUGAGGAGGGCCUUCCUCACGGCGCGAUGCCCGUGUCCGCUGAGAGAGGCCUCUCUCGCGGCGCGAUGCCAGUAUGCCAGUAUGCCAGUGUUACAGCGUCUAGUUGGGGGAGCCCUCCCUCAAUAGUACGAUGCCGUGACCGCUGAGGGACGGCCCCCUCUCACGGUGCGAUGCCCGUGUUCGUUGGGGAAACCUUCUCCACGACACGAUGCGUGUUUAGAUUGUUAAUGAUGAAGAUGCGCUCAUGCUGUUUAGAAUUUGGAAAUGUUUAAAGAGCAAAGGUAUUUGAAAAGAAACUUAUGCCUCUUAUGCGAUGUUGUGUUUUGUUGUUGAUGUUAUGUUAUAUGUUUGGCAACUGCCCACUAAGUACUCUUGUACUUAGCCCUUCGUUGUUUAUGUUUGUGCAGGUUGAGCUGUGAUGGGGCGAUGAAGUAUUGCUGAGUGGAGUUUUUGUUCGAACUUAAAGUAGGCUCAGAAAGGAUACAUGUCUUCAUACAUGUAUCUCAGUUAUGCAUUCCGACUGUAAACACUGAUUAUUUCAGUUAGGCCUUCCGUUGCAAACUCUGAUAAUGUUUUUAGCCAAGCCCCUAACGAUGCCUUAUUCCUUUUUAAGGAAUAUUUCACGCGUAUUCAAGCUCUUUGAGUAUUCUUUUAUGNAGAGAGGGGAGUGUCGGCUGUGAUUGAGGUAAAAGGAGAGAUGGGAGAGAGAGAAGGACCGAGAGUCUAAAGAGAGAGAGUUUGGGCUGCAAUUCUUUUCUUUUGGGCCGAAUUCUUUUAAGCUUGGGCCUUAUUCUUUAUUUUGCUGAUGGGCUCUAAUUGUUUAAAGAAUUUGGGCUUAUUCCUUUUUAAAAUUUUGGGCUGAGAAUUGUUUUAAUGGUUUUGGGCUUCCAUAUAAUGAUUUGAACUGGCCAAUUAAAUCAUCUGGGCGUGAAAUAUCUUAAAGUUGGGCCGAACAUUGGGAAGAAUUGCAAGAAAAGAUUGGGCUUCACAUAUAAAUUCGAAAUGGGCCAGUUCUUUUAUUUAAUUGGCCCUUCUCAUUAUUUCUAUUGGGCUCGAUUAAUUAAGGAGUUGGGCUGAUGCAUAUUUUAUGAUGGGCUAUUAUUCUAAUCCCAUUUAUAUUUCGUUGGGCCAGUUUAAUUCAUCACUUGGGCCGAUUAAAUUGCCUAUUGGACUAAGAUUAAUUCUUUCCAGCCCACAUUAAUUAUUAUCUGGACCCCAAUUUAAAUUAUUUUAGCUCGAAGAAUUUUUAACUUAGGCUAAUUUUAAAGCUUGAGCUGAAGUUACUCCUUUGAGCCUACAGAUCUAUUUAGUGAGCCCAAUUAUUUAUCAGUGGGUGAGCCGAUUCGUAUUCAGUAAAUGAGCCGCCCAGUUUAUUAAUUAUUGUUUUUGGACUUCAGACUUUAAAGCAAGCCAUUAUUGUUUAUUUCAUUAAAGCCACUGGUUUAUUUAAUUAAUUGGCUACUCUCUUUUGAGCCUAUUAAUUAUUUGAGGUUACAUAGUAAUUAUGUUUCUAUCGAAAAGCCCGAUAAAUUUCUACGAGGUCACACCUCGUUUAAAGCCGAGUUAGUCUAUUUUUCGAUCGAGUACAAAGGCGAGGUUUAUUUCACGACUAGAAUAUUCCGAUGAGGAAGGAAGAAUCACAGUUUUAUUCGACCGCGUUAGACGAGAAUUAGCUAAAUCUAUUAACGAGGAUUAAUAGUAGAAUUCCCGAUUAUCGCUCAGAAGAUUAGUUCAUGCAUACCAGAUUCAUGCAUAGUUAAAUUACGCUUUCUCAUUAAUUGAGAAUUUUCCUCGAGGCAAUGUCUUAUUUUAUAUUCUCGUGAUUAAGGUCAAGCGCGAGAGUAAGAACUACUCAAGGAGUACAGUACCUUAGCAAAACUUUGCUAUCAGGUGGGCAAUUUCUUACGCGUAAAUAAAAUGCUAUGCAUGUGUUAUGCUUUAAAAUGAAAAUUGGAUCUUCAAGUGUGGUAUGCUUUAUUAUGCUUUACGCUAAAUGAUUUACGCUUGAUUACGCUUAUUUACGCUUGAAUGCUUUACGCUGAUAAGUUUAUGCCUGUGAUUGAUGAUUGCGUCUGUUGGGGGAGGCCUCCCUCAACAGUACGAUGCCGUGUCCGCUGAGGAGGGCCUUCCUCACGGCGCGAUGCCCGUGUCCGCUGAGAGAGGCCUCUCUCGCGGCGCGAUGCCAGUUUGCCAGUGUUCCAGUGUUGACACCGACGUCGAUACUAGCGUCUAUUGGGGGAGGCCUCCCUCAAUAGUACGAUGCCGUGACCGCUGAGGGAGGCUCCCCCUCACGGCGCGAUGCCCGUGUUCGUUGGGGAAGGUCCUUCUCCACGACACGAUGUUUGUUAAUGAAGAUUAUGAUUGUCAAUAAUGAAAAAUGCCCUUAUGCUAUUUAUGAAUUUGGAAAUGUUUAAUGAGCAAAGGAUAUGAAAGAAACUUAUGCCUCUUAUGCGAUGUUGUGUUAUGUUAUUAAUGAUUGUUAUGUUAUAUGCUUGGCAACUGCCCACUAAGUACUCUUGUACUUAGCCUACGUAUGUUUAUGUUUGUGCAGGUUGAGCUGUGAUGGGCGAUGAAGUGUUGCUGAGUGGAGUUUUUGUCGAACUUAAAGUAGGCUCAGAAAGGAUACAUGUCUUCAUACAUGUAUCUCAGUUAUGCAUUCCGCUGUAAACACUGAUUAUUUCAGUUACACCUUCCGUUGCAAACUCUGAUAAUGUUUUAGCCAAGCCCCUAAAAAUGCCUUUUUCCUUUUUAAGGAAUAUAACGCGUAUAUAAGUUCUUUGAGUACCAUUUUUAUGCGAACUAUGCCUUUUUCCUUUUUAAGGAAUAUUUCAUGCGUAUUCAAGCUCUUUGAGUAUUCUUUUAUACACCCCUUUCUAAACCCGCUUCUUAAUUUCCCUUCCCCAGUCAUGGUUUUCCCGGAUUAAUUAUCCUUAAUUAAGGCCGGUCGUGACAGAGUGGUAUCAGAGCAGUUCGUUUGCUCUGAGCCAAAGAGUUAUUUAAGUCCAAACUUAGAAUGGAUCACUAAAGUGUCUAGAAUUCAAUCGACAAAGCUCAGCACUUCAUCGCAUCACACUCAACGAAGCAGAAUGGUAAGCUCUUUCAAGUUUUGAGAUAAUUUACAAAAAGUGACAAAGUGUGUAACUGUUAAUAGCUAUGUUAUGUUGUUACUGAAUGAAAUGAUUUACGCAAGCACGAUUAAGUAUGCCUAUGGAAUGAAUCCAUAUGAACAUAGAGCUAUUAAGAUAUGAGAUCACCACUACGACAGAACAUAGAAGCAAACAUAGAAGAAAUUAGAUUGUAUCUUUUGAUGGCUAUAGUAAAGGCAGCAAGAUAAGUGAUACGUAUAGAAUAAUUCUUAAGCUCAUGAUUUUAUAGCCGCUAUAAAUCUCCAUGACUUAUGCCUAAGUAUCCAAUUUAGAUGAUGAGAUAUUAUAUGCUUAAGGAUUGUUAUGACUCAUAGAUUUGAGAUGCUAAGGACCCUUAAAGCUUACUACAUCAAUGUUGUCAUUGGAGUUAUGACUUGUUUACAAGUUAGAAUAAGUUAACCUGUACAAGAAUUCUUUUGAGGCUUGUAUUAGAUUAUGCUAGAGUGUACUAAUUGGCACAAACUUUGCUAUCAGAAUGCCGCCUAAGAGAGGACGCCCUGCGAGAAACAAUAACAAUCGCAGAAAUCGUAACGCUGUACCCGAAGAACCACAAGAUACUCGAGGACAUAACCCAUCCCCUCCGCCCCCAACCUAGGAGAGUCGAAGAACUCUUUUUAAGGCAAAAUCCACCUACGUUUGACGGAACGAGUGAACCGGCUGAAGCUGAGAUUUGGGUGCGUGCAAUGGAACGCAUUUUCAACUUUCUGCGUUGUACUGAUGAGGAGCGCCUAUCUUGCGUCUCUUUCCAACUAACAGGAUCGGCUGACUUCUGGUGGGAAGCACGACGAAAAAUUCUGACACAGAACAAUGGGCAAGUUAUACUUGGGAAGAUUUUAAGACAGGAUUAUAUGAUAAAUAUAUCCGAAAAGACUAUAGGAAGAAGAAAGAAGCUGAGUUCUACGAGUUAAAGCAAGGAAAGAAAUCUGUGGUUGAAUACGAAAGGAAUUCUGCAACCUGUCGAGGUUUGCUCCACAACAAGUGGACACAGAGAGAAGAUGGCAGAAAAUUUUGUGCCGGACUGCGGUACGAAAUAAGAUGGCUCUAGCAAGCCACGGAGGACUCUCAUACACGGAGUCUCUGAACAGGGCACUUGACAUUGAAGCUGCAAUGCCGUCAGACAAGUCAGCCCCACCUUGAUCUCAACGCCAAAGAACCAGAGCCUCACAUACUCUCAAAGGGAAGCGCAAGUGGGACAACAAGAAGACAAUAUCAAUCGAUAUAAGAAGUUGGCAAGAAAGAAGGGCCGAACAGUUUAUUCAACCAAGGACGAGGCACAGACUAACCUCGAGCAACUGGGUAGCCAAGUCAGAGGAAUUUCACCUUGCCCAAAUUGCGGUAAGAUGCAUAGGGUUCUGUCGGCGGAACUAAGUUGUUACAAUUGUGGCCAAAAGGUCACUACUCCACGCAAUGCCCCAACAGACAACGAGGUUCAGCAAUUGGGAACACCCCACCCCUUGCCAGAAUACGUGGACACUUGCGAAAUCAGCCUAAUCACAUCAGUGAAAAUCUUAUGGAGACACCGCAAAAGAGAAGCUACGGGAAUUGAAGACAAGAUGAAGGAAAAAUACCCGAACUUUUUAGCAGAGAUAUGCAAAUUUCGGGACGAAAUUUUUGUUAAGAGGGGUAGUAUGUAAUACCCGCAUUUUUAUUUUAUUUAAUAUGGUAUCGCGAUAGUUAAUAUCGCAUCUUUCAGUAAAUGAAACCCAGCUGCCAGUUAUAUAUAUGAAUCCAGUUUAUGGUCCUGAUUUUUUUUUUAUUCAGAACGAGUUAUUAUUUAGCUUAUACUUUUAUAACGUAUGAGAAAAACGCGAGAGGAUUAUUGAGCCAUCAAUAAUUAUUAUUUCCAUUAUAACUGACUUAGCAAAGUCAUGUUAUUUAUUAAUCGGAAAGAAAUUAUUUAUUAGUGUACUUGGAAGUCGGAAAUUAUUCCGACUUGAAGCGAGAUUAAAUCUACGGAUUUAAUUAAGUUAUAUUAAGUUAUUAAGACAGGCAAGGAAAAAGAUAUCAAGCAGAUACAGAAAUCGAUGAUUUAAAAUCGAAGCCAGUAUUUAUUUACAGUUAAGAUUACAGCUAGUUCCAGCUUGGGGAAAAUCGUCUAGUAUAUUACAAAAGCAAAAGCUCUUCAAUCAAUUAAAGUUUAGAUAAAAUUUUUAUUUCAUCUUUUGCUAUUUACUCCACCAACACCACUCCAACCUUUUGCUUUCCUCCCUCAGCCAACCACCACCACUAUCUCCAAUAUCUCCAAUGAUUUAACUAUCAACUCCACCACCACUUGCUCCCCACCCAACAAAUGCAAUAUUCACUCUCAUUUCAAUUUCAUCCAAAAGUUCAGAGGAUCAAUUCCAGUUCAGCCGAAGCUCUCAAGGUAAUGCUUGGUUUCAAUGCUUUCUUCUCCUUUGAUUAAGUUCAUCCUGCAAUUGUUAAGCAAAUAAGCAAUUUAUUUCAGUUUCUAUCCACUGAUUCAAACACCACAGCAGCCAACAUCAAUUACAAGCCUAAAUUUCUCAUUGAAUUCAAUAGCAACAAACAGCCACCAACACCAAGCAUAGCAGGUAUAUACUUAGCUCAGCUCCAGUUCAUACAUCAUAUCAUCAAGCAUAUGUUUAAAAAGGAAAUACAUAGUAUACAGGUGUGUAUAUAUAUGCACACAGGGACUUAGCAAUCGAAAUCAGUUUAUGCUAUAUUUUCUUAUCACACGAGGCAAGCAAGGAAAAUUCUUGAUACAUUAGUAAACCACGAACUUAGUUUUAUCUCUUGCAUAAUACAGAAAUCAGUAUAUAUUUUCUUCACUUAAGAUAAAGGCAAUGAGAAAACUCUCAUAAAUCAGUAGCAAAAACCAAGACUCCACAUAGACUUAAGUAUUGAACUUAGCUGUAGAAGGGCUGACUGCCCGACGGGGACGGGGACGACGACGACGGUCGGGACAGGGCGAACUCGUCCAACCUCAUCAGAGCCCCGAACAGCAGCUGCCCGGCGACGAGCUGAGACUCGUGCGCAGCAGCAGCGGUCGCUCGACAGUUGCGUUUUUCCCUUUUUCUGAGAACUAGGGCCCAACGACGGAAGGAGCGGUGGUGGCUGGGGCUGCUAUCGCCGGAUUUACAAAACGCCGCGGCGCUGAGCGGGGAGAGAGGGAGAGGCGGUUCAAAAUCGGAGAGGAAAUUAGGGCUUCUGCUGCACCUUCAUUGGGUUGAGAAGAACAGCCGACGCAGCCACGAACGAGACGCAACCGCUCUGUUCGACCGGUACCGAGCCCGAGCAGCAGCAACUCUAGUCGGCGAUGGCUCCAGAAGACAGCAGCCGUCGGAUUUCAGAAGGGGAGAGAGAGACGGCCACGACCGGCGCCGACCGCUCGCCGGAUUCCAUACGGAGGUGCGGCAGCUGCGAUUUACCAGGAGAAGUUAGGGCUUGAUUUUGAACUCUGCGUGCAGAUUGAGGAAGAGAGAUGACGUCGCCGGUCGAAGCCAACCGAAGCAGAUGACGGCUGGAGUCUCGGCGGCGGACGCCUCGUGUGAAGGCGAGUCGAGAGUGAGAGGGAGAAGAGGCGUGCGGCUGGUUUGAGAGAGGGGAGUGUCGGCUGUGAUUGAGGUAAAGGAGAGAUGGGAGAGAGAGAAGGACCGAGAGUCUAAAGAGAGAGAGUUUGGGCUGCAAUUCU
rnacentral:lncRNA from 1 species